CUAUAGUUAACAUGAAGUCACUUAUUUGUUGCACACUUCUAGUUGUUUCUCUCUGUUCAGUUCAAGGUCGCAGCUAUGGCUAUCACAAAAAGACCAAACAUACUUCCGUGGUUAAACCCAAGGAUCAUGGGUUUCUUAAAGAUCCCGUCCAUAUACCCAACGACCAUGGUUUUGUAAAAGAUCCAGUUCAUAUACCCAACGACCGUGUCGUGCUACCUAGCAACAAACUGCCUCAAUGCAAUACACAGUGUACCCUACAGAUAAUACCACCACAGUGUAUACAAGAAACUUUUGGAUUUGAACAUGGUGUAAGGUGUAGAGGCUGCGACAUUGACAUUUGCAAUAGCGGCAGGGUAGAUAAUUUAGAUAGAUGGCAGGGCAGCUCCCAGUGGCAAGAUGGCGGUUUUCAAAAUAGAAACCAAGGAAUAGGCGGAGGAUUCGUUGAUAGUUUGGGUAAUGAUUUUCUAAACGUACUAGGACAAAAUUCAAAUUUAGAUGGUAGAAUUAGAAACAGAUUUGAUACAAAUAUUGACAGGAGGAACAGAUUUGAUACAAAUAUUGACAGGAGGAACAGAUUUGAUACAAAUAUUGACAGGAGAACAAAUCUUGACAGAAAUACCAGAUUCGACCAAAUUUUCAAUGAAAGACGAAAUCGAAUUGAAACAAACAGACAAGUUGGAAAUGAGUGGUUAUGAUCACGUGGUUUUUAUCUCAGUAUGAUAUUCAGGCAGUAUAAACAAUCUAAAAAAAGAAAUCCAUUGCAUAAUUCAAUGUUUCGUGAAUUUAUACAUUUUUAUAUACGUAAAUAAAGUUUGAGAGUCUAGCCUAAAGUUUUUUAUUAGUUUUUAGUAGAAUUGCCUGAAUAAUUAUUCUUAAGAGUAAAUUAACAUUCAUGUUUACGGAGGGUGUUUGGCGGUGAUUUUUUUGUUAAUUCAAUGACAGUAGACACUGUACGCUUUAGAUAAUGUACUCUAAAUCUAAAUCUGGUUGAAGAUGAACAACAUGUUGUUACUAGUUGUCCAGCAUACAUUAAUGAUAGGGAGAUAUUUUUCAAGGAGAUAAACUGUAUCUGUCCCAAUUUUAUAUAUCUUUCAAAUGAGGCAAAAUUUGUUUGGUUAUUUACUAAUGAAAAUUUGUCUAUACUUAAAUAUUUAGGGAGCUAUAUUAUUACAUGUCUAGAUGUUAGACGAAAUGUAAAUUAAUGUAUGUAAUAACAAUGAUAAUUGUAAUGAUUUUAUAGUUCUGAUCCUGCCUGGAAUUAAAUGUAUGUGAUUUUUUAUAGAAUGAAGAUAAUAACAUCUGUCUGAACUUUUUAAUGUUUCAUUUUAAUAUAUAAAAAUGUUUUUCUGUUACAAAUCAUGAUGUAUUGUUUCAUGUGUACAUGUUAUGCUGCCCAUCAAGGGCCCUUGAUUGGAAUAAUAAAUAUUCUUAUUCUUA